CACGUAGGCACCAAGCGUUGUCCGGAUUUAUUGGGCGUAAAGAGCUCGUAGGCGGUUGGCUAAGUCGGGUGUGAAAACUAAGGGCUUAACCCUUAGACGCCACUCGAUACUGGUCUGACUUGAGUUCGGUAGGGGAGCGGGGAAUUCCUGGUGUAGCGGUGAAAUGCGCAGAUAUCAGGAGGAACACCGGUGGCGAAGGCGCCGCUCUGGGCCGAAACUGACGCUGAGGAGCGAAAGCAUGGGUAGCAAACAGG
rnacentral:misc_RNA from 1 species